rnacentral:rRNA from 1 species
GACGAACGCUGGCGGCGUGCUUAAUACAUGCAAGUCAACUGAACUUGAGGUAGCAAUAUCACAAGAGAGGUGGCGCACGGGUGAGUAACACGUAGGUAAUCUGCCUUUAGGUCUGACAUAAUUCCGCGAAAGCGGGACUAAUAUCAGAUGAUGCAGCGGCUCGACAUCGAGACAGUUGUUAAACCUUCGGGGCCUAAAGAUGAGCCUGCGUCNGAUUAGGUAGUUGGCGGAGUAAAAGCCCACCAAGCCUGCGAUCAGUAGCUGGUCUGAGAGGAUGAUCAGCCACACUGGAACUGAGACACGGUCCAGACUCCUACGGGAGGCAGCAGUAA